rnacentral:rRNA from 1 species
UAGAUACCCUAUUAUUUUGGAUUUAAAAGUUUAAACUUGAGUACUAUUAGAUAUGGUCUUGAAACUUAAAGAAUUUGGCGGUAUUUUAGUCUAGUUAGAGGAAUCUGUUCCAUUAUCGAUAAUCCACGUUGAACCUUACUUAAUAUAAUUUAAUAUGUAUACCGCCGUUUAUUUGAUGAAGAUCUUUUUAGGGAUAAUUUUCUUUAAAUUUUAAUUAGUUUUAUUUCAGGUCAAGGUGCAGUUUAUAAUUAAGUGGAGAUGGAUUACAUUAUUUAUAAAGUAAACGGAUUAAAAUUUGAAAUUGUUUUAUGAAGGGGGAUUUAAUAGUAAUUUAUAAUAAGAGCUAUUUUUGUGAUUGUGGCUCUAAAAUGUGUACACAUCGCCCGUCACUCUCGUUAUUAAGAUGAGAUAAGUA